AAAAAUUUAUGCAUCAUGAAGCAUAAUGAUUGGGUUUUCACACUCAGGUGUGAGAUGUGCCCCCCUCCAACCUUGUUAGGAUAGCAGCACCUUAUCCAUCUGAUG
ensembl:snoRNA